UUGCUACUGGACCUAGCGGCGGACGGGUGAGUAAUGCUUAGGAAUCUGCCUAUUAGUGGGGGACAACAUCUCGAAAGGGAUGCUAAUACCGCAUACGUCCUACGGGAGAAAGCAGGGGAUCUUCGGACCUUGCGCUAAUAGAUGAGCCUAAGUCGGAUUAGCUAGUUGGUGGGGUAAAGGCCUACCAAGGCGACGAUCUGUAGCGGGUCUGAGAGGAUGAUCCGCCACACUGGGACUGAGACACGGCCCAGACUCCUACGGGAGGCAGCAGUGGGGAAUAUUGGACAAUGGGGGGAACCCUGAUCCAGCCAUGCCGCGUGUGUGAAGAAGGCCUUAUGGUUGUAAAGCACUUUAAGCGAGGAGGAGGCUACUUUAGUUAAUACCUAGAGAUAGUGGACGUUACUCGCAGAAUAAGCACCGGCUAACUCUGUGCCAGCAGCCGCGGUAAUACAGAGGGUGCGAGCGUUAAUCGGAUUUACUGGGCGUAAAGCGUGCGUAGGCGGCUUAUUAAGUCGGAUGUGAAAUCCCCGAGCUUAACUUGGGAAUUGCAUUCGAUACUGGUGAGCUAGAGUAUGGGAGAGGAUGGUAGAAUUCCAGGUGUAGCGGUGAAAUGCGUAGAGAUCUGGAGGAAUACCGAUGGCGAAGGCAGCCAUCUG
rnacentral:rRNA from 1 species